rnacentral:rRNA from 1 species
UACGAAGGGUGCAAGCGUUAAUCGGAAUUACUGGGCGUAAAGCGCGCGUAGGUGGUUCAGCAAGUUGGAUGUGAAAUCCCCGGGCUCAACCUGGGAACUGCAUCCAAAACUACUGAGCUAGAGUACGGUAGAGGGUGGUGGAAUUUCCUGUGUAGCGGUGAAAUGCGUAGAUAUAGGAAGGAACACCAGUGGCGAAGGCGACCACCUGGACUGAUACUGACACUGAGGUGCGAAAGCGUGGGGAGCAAACAGGAUUAGAUACCCGGGUAGUCC